CAUUGAAACAUCGGUCCUCUUAAGAUCACUGAAGUUAAGCAACUUCGAGCUUGAUCAGUACCUAGAUGGGCGACUGUUUGGGUAUAGCGGGUACUGUAA